AGCGAACGCUGGCGGCAGGCUUAACACAUGCAAGUCGAACGGGCGUAGCAAUACGUCAGUGGCAGACGGGUGAGUAACGCGUGGGAACGUACCUUUUGGUUCGGAACAACCCAGGGAAACUUGGGCUAAUACCGGAUAAGCCCUUACGGGGAAAGAUUUAUCGCCGAAAGAUCGGCCCGCGUCUGAUUAGCUAGUUGGUGUGGUAACGGCGCACCAAGGCGACGAUCAGUAGCUGGUCUGAGAGGAUGAUCAGCCACACUGGGACUGAGACACGGCCCAGACUCCUACGGGAGGCAGCAGUGGGGAAUAUUGGACAAUGGGCGCAAGCCUGAUCCAGCCAUGCCGCGUGAGUGAUGAAGGCCUUAGGGUUGUAAAGCUCUUUCGGCGGGGAC
rnacentral:rRNA from 1 species